rnacentral:rRNA from 1 species
UACGUAGGGGGCAAGCGUUGUCCGGAAUCAUUGGGCGUAAAGAGCGUGUAGGCGGCUCGGCAAGUCCGCUCUGAAAGCCCGGGGCUCAACCCCGGGAGGCGGGCGGAUACUGUCGGGCUAGAGUCCGGAAGAGGCGAGUGGAAUUCCCGGUGUAGCGGUGAAAUGCGCAGAUAUCGGGAGGAACACCAAUGGCGAAGGCAGCUUGCUGGGACGGUACUGACGCUGAGGCGCGAAAGCGUGGGGAGCAAACAGG